UUAAGCGACUAAGCGUACACGGUGGAUGCCCUGGCAGUCAGAGGCGAUGAAGGACGUGCUAAUCUGCGAUAAGCGUCGGUAAGGUGAUAUGAACCGUUAUAACCGGCGAUUUCCGAAUGGGGAAACCCAGUGUGAUUCGUCACACUAUCAUUAACUGAAUCCAUAGGUUAAUGAGGCGAACCGGGGGAACUGAAACAUCUAAGUACCCCGAGGAAAAGAAAUCAACCGAGAUUCCCCCAGUAGCGGCGAGCGAACGGGGAGGAGCCCAGAGCCUGAAUCAGUGUGUGUGUUAGUGGAAGCGUCUGGAAAGGCGCGCGAUACAGGGUGACAGCCCCGUACACAAAAAUGUACAUAUUGUGAGCUCGAUGAGUAGGGCGGGACACGUGGUAUCCUGUCUGAAUAUGGGGGGACCAUCCUCCAAGGCUAAAUACUCCUGACUGACCGAUAGUGAACCAGUACCGUGAGGGAAAGGCGAAAAGAACCCCGGCGAGGGGAGUGAAAAAGAACCUGAAACCGUGUACGUACAAGCAGUGGGAGCACGCUUAGGCGUGUGACUGCGUACCUUUUGUAUAAUGGGUCAGCGACUUAUAUUCUGUAGCAAG
rnacentral:rRNA from 1 species